rnacentral:sRNA from 1 species
AGAAUUAGAAUUGGCUGUUUUGGAAGCUGGAAGUUCUGAAGCUGUGAAACCAAAAUGCACUCUAGAAGAAAGACAGCAAUUUAUGAAAGCAUUUAGGCAGCCAGCAUCAGAUGCACUUAAAAAUGGAGUUAAAAAGUCUUCUGAUAAGCAGAAAGACCUUAAUGAAAAAUGUCUAUAUGAAGUAGGAAGAGAUGAUAAUUCUAAAAAAAUCAUGGAAAAUUCUGGUAUCCAAAUGGUUUCAAAAAAUGGCAAUUUACAGUUACACACUGAUAAAGGAAGUUUUCUGAAGGAGAAAAAUAAAAAGCUAAAGAAGAAGAGUAAGAAAACAUUAGAUACUGGGGCUAUUCCAGGCAAAAACAGAGAGGGAAACACUCAAAAGAAAGAAACAACCUUUUUCUUAAAAGAGAAACAAUAUCAAAAUAGAAUGAGUUUAAGACAAAGGAAAACAGAGUUUUUCAAAAGCAGCACUUUAUUUAACAAUGAAAGUCUUGUUUAUGAAGAUAUAGCAAAUGAUGACCUUCUAAAGGUUUCCUCUCUGUGUAACAAUAAUAAAUUGUCAAGAAAAACCAGCAUACCAGUUAAAGAUAUUAAGCUUACACAGUCUAAAGCUGAAUCUGAAGCCAGCUUGCUAAAUGUUUCCACGCCCAAGUCAACUAGAAGAUCUGGAAGAAUUAGCAGCACACCUACUACAGAAACCAUUAGAGGUAUUGAUUCUGAAGAUGUACAAGAUAAUAGUCAACUAAAGGCUUCCACUCCAAAAGCAGCCAACUUAUCGGAAAAGCACAGCUUAUAUACAGCAGAAUUAAUAACAGUACCCUUUGAUUCAGAGAGCCCUAUUAGAAUGAAAUUCACCAGAAUUAGUACUCCCAAAAAAUCUAAGAAAAAAUCUAACAAAAGAUCUGAGAAAUCUGAAGCAACUGAUGGAGAUUUUACUUCUCAGAUUAGAAAGGCAAGCAAUGCUUCAAAAAACAUAUCAAAAGCAAAACAAUUGAUUGAAAAAGCAAAAGCUUUACACAUCAGUAGGUCAAAGGUGACUGAAGAAAUAGCGAUACCCUUAAGGCGCUCCUCUAGACAUCAGACACUUCCUGAAAGGAAGAAAUUGUCAGAAACAGAAGAUUCUGUUAUAAUAAUAGAUUCAAGUCCUACUGCUUUAAAGUAUCCAGAGAAAAAUCAGAAGAAACUUCAGUGUUUGAAUGAUGUGCUGGGAAAAAAACUUAACACAUCCAGUAAAAAUGUACCUGGAAAAAUGAAAGUCGCUCCUUUAUUUCUUGUCAGAAAAGCACAAAAAGCAGCUGAUCCUGUCCCUAGUUUUGAUGAAAGCAGUCAAGAUACAUCUGAAAAAUCUCAGGAUUGUGAUGUUCAAUGUAAAGCAAAGCGUGACUUCCUAAUGAGUGGUUUGCCAGAUUUGUUGAAACGGCAAAUUGCAAAGAAAGCUGCUGCGUUGGAUGUGUACAAUGCAGUGAGUACCAGUUUCCAGAGAGUCGUACAUGUGCAACAAAAGGAUGAUGGGUGUUGUUUGUGGCAUUUGAAACCACCCUCUUGUCCUCUCUUAACUAAAUUUAAAGAACUGAACACUAAAGUAAUAGAUCUCUCAAAAUGUGGUAUUGCUCUUGGUGAAUUUUCAACAUUGAAUUCAAAGUUGAAAAGCGGUAACUCUGCUGCUGUGUUCAUGAGGAAAAGGAAGGAAUUUACUGAAGAAGUAAGAAAUCUUUUGCUUGAGGAAAUUAGGUGGUCAAAUCCUGAAUUUUCAUUGAAAAAAUAUUUUCCCUUACUCCUAAAAAAACGAAUUGAGCACCAAGUACUUUCUUCCGUGUGUCAUAGUAAACAAGAACUGGAGGCUGAUGUCAGCCAUAAAGAAACCAAAAGGAAACUCGUGGAAGCAGAAAAUUCUAAGUCAAAAAGAAAGAAACCAAAUGAGUAUUCAAAAAAUCUGGAGAAGACCAAUAGGAAGUCAGAAGAACUUAGCAAAAGAAACAACUCUUCUGGGAUAAAGCUAGAUUCUUCCAAAGAUUCUGGAACUGAAGACAUGCUUUGGACAGAAAAGUAUCAACCUCAGACUGCCAGUGAACUUAUAGGAAAUGAGUUAGCUAUAAAAAAGUUACAUAGUUGGUUGAAAGACUGGAAAAGAAGAGCUGAAUUGGAAGAAAGGCAGAAUCUGAAGGGAAAAAGAGAUGAGAAACAUGAAGAUUUCUCGGGUGGCAUAGACUUUAAAGGCAGUUCAGAUGAUGAAGAAGAGAGUCGUCUUUGCAAUACUGUCCUUAUAACAGGGCCAACAGGAGUGGGAAAAACUGCUGCAGUGUAUGCUUGUGCCCAGGAGCUUGGAUUUAAGAUAUUUGAAGUGAAUGCCUCUUCCCAGCGCAGUGGUAGACAAAUUCUAUCUCAGUUGAAGGAAGCUACUCAGUCCCAUCAAGUAGACAAACAAGGUGUAAACUCACAAAAACCCUGUUUUUUUAAUAGCUACUACAUAGGCAAGUCACCAAGUAAGUAAACUAUUUUCCUUAAGCCAUAAUGUUUUGAAAAAAAUAAAAUCUAAGAAAAUAAUGUUAAUUAUCAGCAUUUUGCCAUUUAUUUUUUAUCUUCUACACGUACACGUUUCCUGCCCACCCCUGCCAGAUUAUUUUAAAACAAAUCUGAAGACCAUCAUAUCAUUUCACCCAUACCUUCUUCAAUAUUUAUCUCUAUCUGA